GAUGAGCCUAUGUCGGAUUAGCUAGUUGGUGGGGUAAAGGCCUACCAAGGCGACGAUCCGUAGCUGGUCUGAGAGGGAUGAUUCAGCCACACUGGGACUGAGACACGGCCCAGACUCCUAGUGUGUGAAGAAGGCCUGAGGGUUGUAAAGCACUUUCAAUGGGAAGGAACACCUAUCGGUUAAUACCCGGUAGACUGACAUUACCCAUACAAGAAAGCACCGGCUAACUCCGUGCCAGCAGCCGCGGUAAUACGGAGGGUGCAAGCGUUAAUCGGAAUUACUGGGCGUAAAGCGUGCGUAGGCGGUUUUUUAAGUCAGAUGUGAAAGCCCUGGGCUUAACCUGGGAACUGCAUUUGAUACUGGGGAACUAGAGUUGAGUAGAGGAGAGUGGAAUUUCAGGUGUAGCGGUGAAAUGCGUAGAGAUCUGAAGGAACACCAGUGGCGAAGGCGGCUCUCUGGACUCAAACUGACGCUGAGGUACGAAAGCGUGGGUAGCAAACAGGAUUAGAUACCCUGGUAGUCCACGCCGUAAACGAUGUCAACUAACCGUUGGGUUCUUAAAGAACUUAGUGGUGGAGCUAACGUAUUAAGUUGACCGCCUGGGGAGUACGGCCGCAAGGCUAAAACUCAAAUGAAUUGACGGGGGCCCGCACAAGCGGUGGAGCAUGUGGUUUAAUUCGAUGCAACGCGAAAACCCUUACCUACCCUUGACAUCCUCGGAACUUGUCAGAGAUGACUUGGUGCCUUCAGGAACCGAGAGACAGGUGCUGCAUGGCUGUCGUCAGCUCGUGUCGUGGAGAUGUUGGGUUAAGUUCCGUAACGAGCGCAACUCUUAUUCCUUAGUUGCCAGCGCGUCAUGGCGGGAACUCUAGGAAGACUGCCCGUGAUAAGCCGGAGGAAGGUGGGGACGACGUCAAGUCAUCAUGGCCCUUAUGGGUAGGGCUACCCCCGUGCUACAAUGAUCGGUAACGAUGGUGGCGAACUCGCGAGAGCCAGCCAAUCCCAAAAAGCCGAAUCUAGUCCGGAUUGCA
rnacentral:rRNA from 1 species